UACGUGGGGUGCAAGCGUUAUCCGGAUUUACUGGGCGUAAAGGGUUUCGCAGGCGGAUUAUUAAGUCUGGUCUUAAAGCCCGGGGCUCAACCCCGGAAAUGGAUUGGAUACUGGUAAUCUUGAGGAUGUUAGGGGAGAUCGGAAUUCUUGGUGGAGGGGUGAAAUCCGUUGAUAUCAAGAGGAACGUCGAUGGCGAAGGCAGAUCUCUGGAGCAUUCCUGACGCUCAUGUACGAAAGCUAGGGUAGCAAAUGGG
rnacentral:misc_RNA from 1 species